rnacentral:piRNA from 1 species
UGAAGUCUAUGAAUCCUGGGAGAAUCAGGAA